AUUUCAUGCCACUGCUAUUAGAGAAUGUUUGUUAUUUGUCUAUUCGAUCAUGUUGGAAGCUUUCGUGAUAUGCUAGUCCCAGGAAUGGUCUCCACUUUUCAAGGAAUGAGUAAUUUGAGUACUUUGGAAAUAAUGUCUGACCCAGAAUUCUUUGAACCUAAAAUUGAUGUAAGUGAAAGUGUUGCCUAUUUCUUUCCCCCUCUCUUUGAUGAUUAGUUUUUUUUUUUUUUUUUUUUUUUUUGGGUGCGGAAAUUUCAACUGAUUUGCUUGUUGAUUGUUGCCUUUCCUGCAGUGUUCUGGGUUAAAAUGGGAUAUUGGAGAUUGCAAAACAAUUAUUUUAUUAAUCAACUUAAGGAAGUAACCGUAGAGCUUUCCAUUUGGAUCGAAUGGAAUUCAGUUUGCAAAAUAUGUGCUCGAGCAUGCAUGGAAUUUGAAGAAAAUGACAUUUUUUUCAUUCACCUCAGCAGUCGAAAGCUGUAAGGAAGAUAACAAAAAGCAUGAUUGUUUCCAGUGCCAAACUUGUCGUUUUGGAGGAUAGAGAAAGAGGAAGACAAUCAUAAUCUAAACAGCUCACCAGAUGAAGGGUCGUCAAGGGUUGUCUCCCCAAACUUCCAGAGAGCUCAAUCAGAUCAACUGUCAUCCCUAUGCUGUUCGAUGUUUUGUUUGAAUAUAAGUGUAUGUGUUAUUUUCGUUUAACUCAGCUGUGGACUGAUUGACAAUCUUAGACCAUAUGUGCUUCUUUUUUUUAAGUCGAAAGUAAACUGCGUAGAGGUUCCUCCAAUAUUUUAAGAGCC
rnacentral:lncRNA from 1 species